UCUGAAUCUGUCUCGUGAAGAUUUCAGUCUUUGGGUGUAGAACCCCCUCUGCCCAGGCUGGUCUCAUGCUGAGAGUCUUCACUCAGUCCACCUGCAAAGGCCCUUGAUCCAGGCUUCAGAUGUGGAUGUGCCUUUUUGGAAGAUGGAUCAACCCAGACAGAGGCAUCUGUGAGACUAAAGCAGGGACCGGAGGGAGCUCAGCCCCCCUGCCCUCCAGCUGCUGGCCCUUUCCGCGAGCUGUUCCACGUGCCGUGUUGGUUGGUCUCCAAGAAGAAACAGACAUUCAAGGACGGUUUGGGGAUGUUCCAAAACGGGGGACAGAGAGGACCUGGUCCUGAGAGCCGCAGGGCUUCUCGGAGUGGAGAUGAUGCAGCCACAGGACCCUGGAGGGAGGCCUGAGCACCAGGGCAGGCGGCGCUGCUACGCGGAGCCAGGGACCCGGGCACAGCUACUGGCCGCUUCAUUCUCUGCUGCAGCGGCGACCGACCCACUCCCGCACCCAGGACAGCGCUUGGGGAGCCUGGGGCUGAGAGAGCCAACUGCACUGGCCCAGAUAUGGAGGGCCCAGACCCCCACCAGUCCCCAAAAGCUGGUGCCGUGUCAUCUGCGCCCAGGCCAAGACCCGGCCACCUGCCGGAUGAGCCCCACGCGGCUGUUACCUGUGCUGCGCUGGCCGCCUGCUCCCAGCCGGUCCUCCGUGGCUCCUCUGCCAAGCGGCUGCCGCCUUCAGGACGGGCUGCCAGCAAUUUGCCGCGGGUUUUGUUUAACUCUUGCCUGGAGAAUCCCAUGGGCGGAGGAGCCUGGGGGGCUGCAGUUCUUGGGGUUGCUAAGAGUUGGACACGACUGAAGCGACUUCGCAGUAGCAGUAGGUCAGUUUUGAUCCCAUACAUUUCUAGAAAAUUAUGUAUUUCAGUAAUACUUAGAAUAUAUUGGUAUAGAAUUGUGCCUGUUCUCUUGUAACUUUUAAAGUUUUCUCAUUGGUUAUUAUGCCCCCUUUCUUAGGCUUCACUCUGUGUUCCAGUUUCUUGUUUUCUGGAUCAGAUUAAGUUGAAGUUAAGAUACUUUAUUGUUUGCUUGCUUAAUCAAG
ensembl:lncRNA